rnacentral:rRNA from 1 species
AUUGAACGCUGGCGGCAGGCCUAACACAUGCAAGUCGAGCGAGCGGCGGACGGGUGAGUAAAGUAUGGGGACCGCCCGAUAGAGGGGGAUAACUACUGGAAACGGUAGCUAAUACCGCAUACGAUCGGAUAACCCAUAUGGGAUUAGCUAGUAGGUGAGGUAAUGGCUCACCUAGGCGACGAUCCCUAGCUGGUCUGAGAGGAUGAUCAGCCACACUGGAACUGAAACACGGCCCAGACUCCUACGGAGGCAGCAGUGGGGAAGAUGGCACAAUGGGCGAAAGCCUGAUGCAGACAUGCCACGUGUAUGAAGAAGGCCCUAGGGUUGUAAAGUACGUUCAGUGGGAAGGCGUUACAGACAGAAUAAGCACAGGCUAACUCCGUGCCAGCAGCCGCGGUAAUUC